AGUUAAUGAACUUGAAUAAGUAUAUGUUUUGAAAACAUAAUAUAGUGGUAAAUACCCCUAUUAACUU
rnacentral:tRNA from 1 species